UUCAGGCCUAACACAUGCAAGUCGAACGGUAACAGGGAUUGCUUGCAAUCCGCUGACGAGUGGCGCACGGGUGCGUAACGCGUAUAGAACCUACCCUUUACUGGGGGAUAGCCCGGAGAAAUCCGGAUUAAUACCCCAUAGUAUUAUUUCAGGGCAUCUUGAGAUAUUUAAAGCUUUAGUGGUAAAGGAUGGCUAUGCGUCUUAUUAGCUAGUAGGUGAGGUAACGGCUCACCUAGGCUACGAUAAGUAGGGGCCCUGAGAGGGGGAUCCCCCACACUGGUACUGAGACACGGACCAGACUCCUACGGGAGGCAGCAGUGAGGAAUAUUGGACAAUGGUCGGAAGACUGAUCCAGCCAUGCCGCGUGCAGGAAGACGGCCCUAUGGGUUGUAAACUGCUUUUGUACGGGAAGAAUAAUACCCACGUGUGGGUAGAUGACGGUACCGUACGAAUAAGGACCGGCUAACUCCGUGCCAGCAGCCGCGGUAAUACGGAGGGUCCGAGCGUUAUCCGGAAUUAUUGGGUUUAAAGGGUCCGCAGGCGGGUCAGUAAGUCAGGGGUGAAAGUUUGCGGCUUAACCGUAAAAUUGCCUUUGAUACUGCUGGUCUUGAGUUGCGGUGAAGUGGCCGGAAU
rnacentral:rRNA from 1 species